UGCAACCACCUGCCCACUUUUUCUGCCUCCCGUCUCUGGUCAGCCCAGGCCGUCUUGGCCGGGGUCCACCCACUCCAAAAACCACCACAGUUGUGGCGUUGCCUCCUCGCCAGACAGAGAUAGAGGGCCAACAAUGAAGGGUGACUGGCCAAAUGUCUGGGAGAUGGCCCUGUUCCACAUUGUCUGUGUUCUUGCGAAAUUGCAAGGCGUCACGAGGCUUGCCCACCCAAUCCUCUGGAGAGUUCUUGCGCAGAGGUAGAUUGUUUGGCACACGAGAUGUCGGCGUGGGUCGGAAAGCAUGCGGAAGUCCUGCUUUGCUACGUGAUGGAUUUGCAGGUCAGGCUGGGGAGCCUGGGUCUGUGGGAGGAGUCCAGUGUCUGAGUCAGUUUGAGGUCCCCCUGGGGACCAGGGUUGUCUCAGUGGGAGAGCUGGGAAGGGGAAACUCAUGGUUCACUACAGCUAGUAGGCCACCUCAGCCCAGCUAGUUGAGAUGGUCCCAUUGAAUCCAUCCUCUUUCUCCUUGAUCCGGCAGGUGGAGGAACUCAGCCAUCCCGGUUACCGGUGGCAGGAUGAUUUCCUUUCAUCCCAACCUUUAUUUCCACAGUGAAAUCAUCAUGAAGGAGCACUGUGUUGGCAUCCUCGGCUACAGGGUGUCUCAUUCCACUGCAGUCCAGCGGUUCUGGGAUCACGAAGGUCAAGCCUCCAGCUGCAGGCAGUACACCUCCUACCUGAGCUCAUUCAGCUGUUUGGCUGAACAUGACUGCCCGGGUUUUGGCAGGAUUGCUGAGAUAUGGGAGUUAGCCUGUGAGCAUGUUUUCGAAUACGGA